rnacentral:rRNA from 1 species
CCUACGGGGGGCUGCAGUGGGGAAUAUUGGACAAUGGGGGCAACCCUGAUCCAGCCAUGCCGCGUGUGUGAAGAAGGCCCUCGGGUUGUAAAGCACUUUCAGUGAGGAAGAACGCCUGGUGGUUAAUACCCAUCAGGAAAGACAUCACUCACAGAAGAAGCACCGGCUAACUCCGUGCCAGCAGCCGCGGUAAUACGGAGGGUGCGAGCGUUAAUCGGAAUUACUGGGCGUAAAGCGCGCGUAGGUGGCUUGAUAAGCCGGUUGUGAAAGCCCCGGGCUCAACCUGGGAACGGCAUCCGGAACUGUCAAGCUAGAGUGCAGGAGAGGAGGGUAGAAUUCCCUGUGUAGCGGUGCAAUGCGUAGAGAUCGGGAGGAAUACCAGUGGCGAAGGCGGCCUUCUGGACUGACACUGACGCUGAGGUGCGAAAGCGUGGGUAGCAACCAGGAUUAGAUACCCUGGUAGUC